UAUUAUACAAAUAAUGAAUGUUUCUUCGUGCAAUGGUAAGAAUAUUUUCAUGAGGUGAAAGAUGGAAUGUUCCAUUCAACGAGGCGACAGCCGAGUUGAAUGGAACAUUCCAUCUUUCACCGAAUGAAAAUAUUCUUACCAUUGCACGAAUAAAAACAUUCAUUAUUUGUUUUAUA
rnacentral:miRNA from 1 species